UUGUCACACCUUGUACCUCCCUGAACUCCCCCAGACAAACCACUGCCACCGCAGGCGCUGUUCCCGGCGCCGUGUGCCCGGCACAGGAAGCCCAGGGCCGGGGCCCAGCAGGAAGCAGGGCCCUGCAGCAGGCUCGGAGCCCCGCAGAGCCCCCGCCGAGCCGCGGGGGAUUCAGGAGCCGGCAGGAACCGGGAACAGCCCCGCCGUUCCAGCUGAAAUGAGGGAGGGUCUUACAGGAAAAACUUCUGCAGGACCAACAGAAUCAAGCAGAGCUGCACCUACACUGCACAGUAAGAGAUCAGCUCCCAGCUCCCACCUGGAUGUGUGUCAGUGCUUCAGUUCAACACCUGUGUGACUUGCCAAGUCCAGGAACAGACACACCUGAUAAUUCUGCCCCGGGAACACGGUGACUCCACAUGGCCUCGGGGUCUCUCUGCCCCUUUCUGGAGCAACUUCAGGAUCCCUGAAGGUGAAGAAGUUGAGAGCUAAGUCAGAAAUCCAGCAGCCAGCGACACUGUUUUCCUGCAGGAUUGCUGUUCAGCCUGUGUAGAAGUUCCCUCACUGCACUGGGUUUUGGAUUCUUCCACACCCACGGUCUGAAGCAGACUCUGGCCUUGUGAAAGAAGCUUUGCUGCAGCCCACACGUGCAUUCAUUAUGAUUCCACCAAAAAAAAAUGUCAGAUUUCUCUUUUGCAGCAUGCAAAGAGAAUUGACAGAAUGGUUUGGGUUGGAAGGGACCUUAAAGACCGUCUAGUCCACCCCUCUGCCGGGGCAGGGACACCUCCCACCAGCCCAGCUCGCUCCAAGCUCCAUCCAGCCUGGCCUCAAACUCAUCCAGGGAUGGGGCAGCCACAGCUUCUCGGAGCGCCAAACUGGGAACACCAAGAGCACUGCAGAGUACUCCACACACGUCUGCAGAGAAGUCCUGAGGAAAACUCUCCCCCUUUAAACCUUCCAUCAAGUGCUGCACCUGGUUUAACUGGAAGCCAGUCUUCCACACUACAGUGGACAGUGAAUUCUCAGCUCCUGUAGCUUUCAGACUCCUUGUCACAGGAGGGAACUCUCAGGACAGUCACUCUGUGUGGCCUUGUGUGCAUUUAUUUUUUACAUUCAGGCACUGACAAACACCAGUGUAAGAGUUUCUGAAGGGGAUGUCCCUGCACAAGAGAAACCAUUGUCAUUUUGGCACUUCAGAAAAGCCUGGAGCCUCACGCCUGGUUAAGAUGGGAAACUCUCAGAAUGACAUGGUGUGCCUUUUUCUGUGUUACGGAUAUUGCUCAGGGAAUGUGGUCAGAGCUGCCAGCUCCCUCCAGAGGAGCAUUUCUGCUGCACUCUGCUUGGACCAUCUCCUUUCACCGGGAGAGAAAAAGGAAAGGGUCAGAAGCACACACAAACUUCCUCCAGCAGCUUUCCCAGGCAGGGAUUUGGAGCGUUUUGUCACUGCCCAUGACUGGUUGGGUCCAGUCAAUACAUUGCGCUCUGGCUCUCCAGACUGCACCCAAACGGGAGAAGCGUGCUCUCUUUAGAUGAAGAUUCAUUUGCCGUGUCACACCCCAGGCCUUGUCCUGCUGUGCACGGAUCUGAGACUCAGCACCAGGGGGGUUUGUAACCCGAUGUGACCACGGGAAGCCAGGCUGCUUUCACAGGGACCCUCAGGUCUGGGAGGCCGUGAGCUCGACCAGCCAAACUCUUAAAGGCUCCUCCCAACAUCUUCUGAACUGGUUUACAAGCCUGACUUGAAAAGGCCCCAGCAUGCUUUUACAAAGCCAGUAAUGAGCCUUUGUGGGAUGUGAAACGGUGUCCCAAAACCCAGGGCCCAAGCAUUGCAAGGCCGCAAGACAGAGACUGGCUGGCAUCAAAGAAAAUGUCUUGUACAAAAAGCUUUAAAGGCUUUCAAAGCUUGCAGUCAAUUUCUGCAUCCAUUCCCCCCUCACACACUGCAGUGACUCAGCCCCCCGCAGUUACCCUGCACUUUAAACGCUGCAUCAACAACUUGUUUCCCACAGAAACACAGUUUCACAGCCACACAGAAAGCACUGCGUCCUCCUGCGGCCAGCACCAAAGCUUUGUCUGUGCUUGCACUUUCAUUCCCUUUUCUCCUCAUUUAUCACGGUUACAGCGUCGGAUCUAAUCCUUAUCCCCUCUGCUUGAGGCAGCACUGACAUGAAGGUAUUUCCAAGCAGAUGUUUGCCAGUUUACAGCAAACGCAGAACCUCCCGAAGAACUUACAAGUAUUUGCUUCCAUUGGAGAUCUGUCUGCACCUCAGAGUAAGGACUAGGCAAAAACGUAACUCGCUGAAGACACGUGCAAUGCACAGGCUUGUGCUGAAAAACAAACACGGAUUUUAUACAGAGUAACCUUGAAGUCACCUGAAAAAGUAACAAAGCUGCUUCAGAACUGCCCUAAAGAGUAGUAAGAACUUAAAAGCAAUACAGCUAAAAUGUCAUGACUUAUUUUACAUAGUAAGGCUCUCUCAAGAACAUUUUAGUUUUUACUUUAGGAUCUAAAGGCUCUCUAAGAAAAGAUGUCAAUAGCCACGUGCAAGUUUACCUGAUAAGAACCCAGACAAUGGUAACAAAGAAGCAAAAAUAAAGGAAUUCCUAAUUAGCCUGUGCCCUUACGGCUGGAAUGGCAGCCUGAGUGAACCCUUGGGCUGCUUUUCUCUUAGGUUCACCUGAAACACCUGGCUGGCACUCGAAGGCAUUUCACCUCUUGCCUUCGCAGCAGCCCAAGCAUUUCAGCAUUGAAACUGAGGAUGCCAAACUUGGACAGAUACAGCAGAAUUUACCUAGUACUGCACACGUCAAAUAUAUCAAGACAUAAAUAAUGCUUUCUGUCACUGUUUUCAAAUAUACUUAACACAUAUAUAACACAUGUACUUCAGGGAGCACAGGUAUUUUGGAACAGGAGCUGUCAGGCUGCCCCAUGGCUGGAAGACACACCAGUGCCUGUGAUAACUGGGAACUGGAAGGAGAACCAACCAGGCUCUUCAAACACGGGAAUUAAUGGCAUCCUCUCAAUACAUUUUACAUCUCAUACACACACAGCCACAUUUCUGACAUAGCUAUUCUGCUAUUAAGGUGUGUUAAGGAGGGAAAGAGGAAACCAAAAUUUCAGUACGAGGCCAAAAAACUCAUUUUAGCCCCCAGGGAAGGGGACAGAAACCCCAUCAGCCCAGACAGCCCCAAAAGGUCCUGAGGUCCUGUCCCCACCACCCUGGCAGUCCUGAGGGCCCCUGCCCUGAGGUACCACCAGGCUGUGCCCA